GCCAGCAGCCAUGUCACCGUGCCGUUCACAACUGGCAGCCCACUGGAGCUCAGCAGGUGUGAGCCUGGUCAGUACCUGGAGGGGAGACCUCCUGGGAAAGCACAGGUUGCUGCUAGAA
rnacentral:rRNA from 1 species